rnacentral:rRNA from 1 species
GAAGUAAAAGUCGUAACAAGGUCUCCGUUGGUGAACCAGCGGAGGGAUCAUUACUGGACUCGCAAGACUCCUAUAACCCCUGUGAAUUUACUACAAAGCACGUUGCUUCGGCGGGUGCUCCGGGUCGCCCCGGGGCGCUGCGCCCGCCGGCAGCCUACCAUUCUGUCUCUUUGCGUUGGCAUCUCGAGCAAACACAAAUAAGUUAAAACUUUCAACAACGGAUCUCUUGGUUCUGGCAUCGAUGAAGAACGCAGCGAAAUGCGAUAAGUAAUGCGAAUUGCAGAAUUCCGUGAGUCAUCGAAUCUUUGAACGCACAUUGCGCCCGCCAGCAUUCUGGCGGGCAUGCCUGUUCGAGCGUCAUUGCAACCCUCAGGCCCGGCCUGGCGUUGGAGGACUGCGCAGCAGCCUCCCAAAGCAAGCGGCGGCGGCGCCCCAGAACCGAACGCAGUAGUUUUCUCUCGUUCUGGACCCUGGGACGUUGUCCGGCCGGAAAACCCCAACUCUUUUUAGUGGUGAC